rnacentral:rRNA from 1 species
CCUACGGGUGGCAGCAGUGAGGAAUAUUGGUCAAUGGGCGCGAGCCUGAACCAGCCAAGUAGCGUGAAGGAUGACUGCCCUACGGGUUGUAAACUUCUUUUAUAAAGGAAUAAAGUGAGGCACGUGUGCCGUUUUGUAUGUACGUUAUGAAUAAGGAUCGGCUAACUCCGUGCCAGCAGCCGCGGUAAUACGGAGGAUCCGAGCGUUAUCCGGAUUUAUUGGGUUUAAAGGGAGCGUAGAUGGGUUGUUAAGUCAGUUGUGAAAGUUUGCGGCUCAACCGUAAAAUUGCAAUUGAUACUGGCAGCCUUGAGUACAGUUGCGGUAGGCGGAAUUCGUGGUGUAGCGGUUACAUGCUUCUCUCUCAC